GAGUCUCUUUGGGCCAGCCGGGCUGCUGCAGACAGACAGGAAGCACGCCUGACGCUCCUCUACCCUCGGGCAGCACAGCGGGGCUGGGACUCACUCUAGCUUGCCCAGCAACUUGCUUUCCUGUGUGAACUCUGGCAGGCUGCCCUCUCUGUGCAAAGCUGCCACUGGGGCCUGCUCAGGGUGGCCUGGAACUUGGAGGUGGGCAGUCAGGGCCUAGGAUGGGCCUGUGUCACCAGGGCAUGUGCCCUUGGGCCAGUUACUUCCUCUCAGAGCCUUGGGCUCCUCCUCUGAGGAUGGGGCUUGUUGGUGUGAAAUGAGGUGAGCAUGUUGAGUUGGGGAGCAGCAGGACACGCACCUGCAGGCAGCCGCCCUGGCCACGCUCCCUCCCUACCUUCCGAGUCCUGGGACAGACACAGUAGAGCACAGCGGGCCAGCCUGCUCUCUUCUCUGUCUACUUUUUGCAGAAGAGUCAACAGAUACAACAGGCCCAGGGAGGUGCCCCUGGGGGCCCCAGUCCCCAUCACUCCAAGGGGCAGUCCUGCAAGUGACAAGGUGGGCCCAAUCCCUGUGGAACAGGUCUCUGAGGACCACAGAGUGGGGCCCCAGGGAAAGCUGGGAGCCGAGCUAGAGGCAGGCAGCAAGUAAGGGCCAAGCUGUGCCCCUGCCCGGAAGACCUUCCUGCCCCCAGAACCCGACCCUCCGCAGAUAGCCCUCCCUGGGCAGCAGCCCCCCAGCUUCCAAGGCCCGUGCCUCACCAGACGCCAUGCUCUCACGGACUUGUUUGCUGCUCUGUACCCUGCAGAUCUGCCCCAGAGGAGCAGGUGAAAAGCCGCGCCUGCCGAGGUGCUGUGGCGGUGGAGUUUUGGGCAGAGGAGUGGGGGGAAGAGUUUCUCACUUUUAAGAUUCUCCAAAUCCAAGAUGAAGUCAUGCUGUGCUUUGGAAUGGUAGAUGCUCAUUUAUGUAAAAUCAUAAUAAAUGUUACACAAACUGUUA